AGUGAUCAUGUACAGCUUGCACUGAAUGAAGUCCUCAGCUCAGUGUUAGGCUGUCUCCAGUGAUCAUGUACAGCUUGCACUGAAUGAAGUCCUCAGCUCAGUGUUAGGACUUGAAAGAGGGAAUCAUGCUGGGCUGUCUCCAGUGAUCAUGUACAGCUUGCACUGAAGGAAGUCCUCAGCUCAGUGUUAGGCUGUCUCCAGUGAUCAUGUACAGCUUGCACUGAAUGAAGUCCUCAGCUCAGUGUUAGGACUUGGAGAGGGAAUCAUGCUGGGCUGUCUCCAGUGAUCAUGUACAGCUUGCACUGAAGGAAGUCCUCAGCUCAGUGUUAGGCUGUCUCCAGUGAUCAUGUACAGCUUGCACUGAAGGAAGUUUAUGGCCACAGAUAUUUAUCACAUUGAUUGACCCCAAUGUAACCUGCAGCUGCAGUGUGUUGUGCUGCUACAGCUGCAGUGUUGUGCUGCUACAGCUGCAGUGUGUUGUGCUGCUGCAGCUGCAGUGUGUUGUGCUGCUACAGCUGCAGUGUGUUGUCCCGCUACAGCUGAAAUGUUGUGCUGCUACAGCUGCAGUGUGUUGUGCUGCUACAGCUGAAAUGUGCUGCUACAGCUGCAGUGUGUUGUGCUGCUACAGCUGCAGUGUGUUGUCAUGCUACAGCUGCAGCGUGUUGUCCUUCUACACCUUAGGUGUGUUGUGCUGCUACAUCUGCAGUGUGUUGUGCUGCUACAGCUGAAAUGUUGUGCUGCUACAGCUGCAGUGUGUUGUGCUGCUACAGCUGCAGUGUGUUUUCCUGCUACAGCUGCAGUGUGUUGUGCUGCUACAGCUGCAGCGUGUUGUCCUGCUACACCUUAGGUGUGUUUUCCCGCUACAGCUGCAGUGUGUUGUGCUGCUACAGCUGAAAUGUUGUGCUGCUACAGCUGCAGUGUGUUGUGCUGCUACAGCUGCAGUGUGUUGUCCCGCUACAGCUGAAAUGUUGUGCUGCUACAGCUGCAGUGUGUUGUGCUGCUAAUGCUGCAGUGUGUUUUCCCGCUACAGCUGCAGUGUGUUGUGCUGCUACAGCUGACGUUUGUUGUCUUGCUAAUGCUGCAGGUCAAAAUGGUUUGUUUUGAAACGUAUUUCAGAUAUUCAGGUAAACACACCUGAUAAACCUGUGAUGUUCUUACAAUAACGAACAGAGAAUCUAUCAAUAAGUUUGUAAGUAUCAAACAUCGUGUCACUUCCUAACUUAGUACUCUUGCACUCAACAUACGAAGCACACAAUAUGUGAUAUAAUCCCUGCACAAUACGUGAUAUCCUCCCUGCACAAUACAUGAUAUACUCCCUGCACAAUACAUGAUAUACUCCCUGCUUGUGCUGCUUCACUUCCAUACUCGUACUGUUCAGAUAUUCUUAUCCUGACUGUCGAUGCACUAGAUGGGUUUUAUUGUAGAAUAUGUUCACCAUCUAUCAUUAUCACUGGUAAAUAAAUCAAAUGAAUUGUUGCAAUAACCAAGUUUUGCAUUAUGUGUCCCAUUGUCAAAUGUUUGUGUAGGAGUGGAGUAGUAUUGAUACUGUAGUAUUGAUACUGUAGUAUUGAAACUGUAGUAGUCACAGUCGCCAUUCUAUUGUAAUGGUUGACAAUUCUGCAUAACCUAUUUCAGUUUCCUAACAUAACCUUGUAUAUUACUGGCUUAGUGAAAUUAUAUGCAAACGAAGUAUAUUGUUGGUGCCAGAUUUCCUAUCCCUACAGGACAAUCAGUGGUUGGAACACCAGCUGUUGCAUUCUCUUACUGAAUAACUGUUAAAACAAAUAUUUAUCUCAGCUUCAUAUAUGUUAGAUAAAUCAAUAUCAAGCAAAUGUUUCACUUCAUGAAAGGCUGUUUCCUGUGCCCGACGCACCACAUGAAGCUAAUGUGUGUGUGGACAGCAUCGGGGAAGGAAGACUUCUCAGAAUUCCAUCUACACAUUUUGGUGACCUUUAAAGAAAAAGAAAAGUGGAAAAUAAUCUGAACCAUGCAAAAAGAAUCUCUUUUUGUUCUACUGAAUGUAAAGUGCUGUUCUCACCUCAAGGAACAUUUGCUUGAAUAUACUGAAAGGAAACAAACCUUGCAUGACGAUGUACCUAUCUUUGUAGUCUUUGUUUAAAGAAACAGUACAUGUUAGGCAGCAGAGCCUGUUGUAUAUGUUUGUAUUGCACAGCUGUGUACAGUUACCAGUAUACCCAUGAAACUGACCUUCAACUUACUUCAAGGUGAGUAUCCAGUGUUGAUGGUGUCAACAUAACCACCAACGUUUUGAAAUACUCAGAUUUUGUGGAAGAAAUUGUUUCAUUUAGAUGGACUUCGUUCUUGAAUCAGUGGCAAUACUCUGAGUGUCCGUGUGACUGGUUAUAUGUGUGACCUGUCUCCUGCCUGGCAACACAGUGGGCACAGUGAUGUGUGUCUGUGUGACUGGUUGUAUGUGUGACCUGUCUCCUGCCUGGCAACACAGUGUGCACAGUGAUGUGUGUCCGUGUGACUGGUUAUAUGUGUGACCUGUCUCCUGCCUGGCAACACAGUGUGCACAGUGAUGUGUGUCCGUGUGACUGGUUAUAUGUGUGACCUGUCUCCUGCCUGGCAACACAGUGUGCACAGUGAUGUGUGUCCGCAGUGACUGGUUAUAUGUGUGACCUGUCUCCUGCCUGGCAACACAGUGUGCACAGUGAUGUGUGUCCGUGUGACUGGUUAUAUGUGUGACCUGUCUCCUGCCUGGCAACACAGUGUGCACAGUGAUGAGUGUCCGUGUGACUGGUUGUAUGUGUGACCUGUCUCCUGCCUGGCAACACAGUGUGCACAGUGAUGUGUCCUUCACCCCGAAGACCCGGGUUCCAUUCCCCACAUGGGUACAAUGUGUGAAGCCCAUUUCUGGUGUUCCCCACCAUGAUAUUGCUGGAAUAUUGCUAAAAGCGGCGUAAAACUAAACUCUGUCUGUCAGUGAUGUGUCAGAUGCCGUCCGCGUCUGCUUCCUGGAUCUGUGCAACCAGAUUUGCUGAAAUACAGUUGUUUUUUCUCUCAAAA
rnacentral:lncRNA from 1 species